rnacentral:rRNA from 1 species
ACGGGAGGCAGCAGUGGGGGAUAUUGCACGAUGGGGGAAACCCUGAUGCAGCGACGCCGCGUGAGUGAUGAAGUGUUUCGGUAUGUAAAGCUCUAUCAGCAGGGAAGAAAAUUACGGUACCUGACUAAGAAGCUCCGGCUAAAUACGUGCCAGCAGCCGCGGUAAUACGUCUGGAGCAAGCGUUAUCCGGAUUUACUGGGUGUAAAGGGAGCGUAGACGGCGUGGCAAGUCUGAUGUGAAAGCUAUGGGCUCAACCCAGAAACUGCAUUGGAAACUGUCAUGCUAGAGUGUCGGAGAGGUAAGCGGAAUUCCUAGUGUAGCGGUGAAAUGCGUAGAUAUUAGGAGGAACACCAGUGGCGAAGGCGGCUUACUGGACGAUAACUGACGUUGAGGCUCGAAAGCGUGGGGAGCAAACAGGAUUAGAUACCCUGGUA